ensembl:lncRNA
ACAUCUGUGUGAGUGAUGCCUGCUGUUGGUGCAGGGCAGGCAGUGGGCAGUGCUACACCUGGCAGUGGCUCUGCUGCUUUCCGGCCAUCUCCCAAUGCUCCUCAUCUCCCUUUGUGUGCUCCAUGAUGGUUCAGACUCCUUUUUCUCAGACCUCCUCCUCUAUUUUCAUGUUGCCUGAUGACGGUGUUCCCAUUCAGCUUUGUUUUUCUGCUCGUCCCUAUCUCUCUGGGUUUCCUUUUGAUGUGCUGCUCUGUGAGUCUUCCAGACAAGUCGGGCUCUUGAAAGAGAAAGAAAUGUUGCUUUCUGAAAGACAAGCUUUGUUUGCAAAAGGCACCGGUAACCAAAGUAUUUAAAAACUCAAGUGUCUGCUUCAUCUCUUGGAAGGCUCUUUAAAAAACACAGUUUAUCUGCAGAUGAGAAAGAGCUGCUGGGGCUGUUCGUUGACUUUGCACUUACACUUUCCCUAUCGUUGAUCUGAUUUUUGUUGAAUAAAAACUCCUGAAAAAAUAUUUUAUCACCAGGACGAGGUGAUACAGCAUAUUCUAAAAUAUGUUUCAGGCUGGGAAUCGCCCUACAAAUCCCAGAUCUGCUUUUCUGCACCUCAGCAUUCAUCCAGCGGUGUCGGUUGACCCCAGCAGACUUUGGGUUGGGAUGAGGAUAGGACUGGGCUGCUCAGCAGACUGAAGCUUGGGAGAACGGUGUGUAGAGGGAAGAUAUAGCAACACGCAGAUGAUUGUUUGUAAGAAAAAGCUCUUGUUGCUGCUUAUUGUUGGAGAAGCGGCUGUGUGCACCGCGAGUAACAGCAGCUCCAACCAACGCUUCGUGUGCGGGGAAGCUGAUGGAGCAGAGCUGACGUUCUCACUAGUUAAUGACCACAUUCUUUUCAGAUUAUUGUCUUGAUAUGCAUCUUCUGAUCUUUGUAAGCUCCUUUCUUAAUAUUUAAGCUGCUUUCUUAGUAUUUAAGCUGCUUUCUAAUAUUUACUAAAAUUUCCUAGAGCUUUAACACUGGUAUUAAUUAGGCACGUGUUUUAAACUUCAAUUAGCCCUGUUAAAUACUGCAUUAUUUUAUUGUCUUGAAUUUUUUGCUAUGUUCCGUAAAAAUAUCACAUUGUUACUUUAUUUCAGAGCUUCAAAACUCGGCUGAGGUUCUGAGAGAUGAAUGUAUACACAGUUAUAGGCAUUUUGGGUAUAUAUAUAUGGGUAUUUCGGUAAUGUCAUCAGAACUGUCAAGAAUGUGUUGGAGCUCUCAGUCAGAAUUUAUUACCUUGCAUGAAACUUCUAUGUUCCUUGAUACCACGUUCUGUUGCCACUUUGUGCUUACAAAGAAUUUCCCAUUUACUGCUCCAGCUUCAACUGAGGCUGUGCUAAAGAUUCUUCAUUAAAUUGCCUUAU